CUGAGCGCCCGGGAGUUCUUGCCCCGUGGCAGGCUGGUAGCACAUUGCUCUCCUGCCGAUGCUGCUAUUCUCUGUCCCGUGCUAUGCCGUGUUAAGCCCCACUGUGAGGCGAGAGAGAGGUCUGGAGGAUGUGAUGACUUUAUAGGGGGAGAGGACAGAGCAGCAGAGGGACACAGCAGACAGAAACUGUUACAUGGCAGGGUGAAACGUCCAUGCUGCAUCUGCAUGACAACCAUGUGAUCCCAAUCAGUUUCAUGGGAAUGUGCAUUUUGAUCUUCUUGAAUGAUGACCUGAGCCCUAGGACCAUGCCUCAGGACUACCUGGCUUGAUGACUCCUUGCUGUCCCCAGUUCACCUGGCCGUGCUGCUGCUCCAGUUCCAACUGUUCUGCCUGCAGCUAUGGAACCCUGACCUGUUCACCGGACGUGCUACCUGUCCCAGACCUGUUGUCCCAGAACUGCUGGAACCCUGACCUAUUCACCGGACGUGCUACCUGUCCCAGACCUGCUGUUUUCAACUCUCUAGAGACAGCAGGAGCGGUAGAGAUACUCUCAAAGAUCGGCUAUAAAAAAGCCAACUGACACUUACUCUUGUGUUACUGACUUGUUGCACCCUCGACAACUACUAUGAUUAUUAUUAUUUGACAAUGCUGGUCAUUUAUGAACAUUUGAACAUCUAGGCCAUGUGCUGUUAUAAUCUCCACCCGGCACAGCCAGAAGAGGACUGGCCACCCCUCAUAGCCUGGUUCCUCUCUAGGUUUCUUCCUAGGUUUUGGCCUUUCUAGGGAGUUUUUCCUAGCCACCGUGCUUCUACACCUGCAUUUCUUGCUGUUUGGGGUUUUAGGCUGGGUUUCUGUACAGCACUUUGAGAUAUCAGCUGAUGUAAGAAGGGCUAUAUAAAUACAUUUGAUUUGAUUCAUUCAACUUCAAUCUAAACUUCGUUAAACUAACCUCAUUCUUAGAAGUGACAGAGCGUCGCACCGGCAGCACUACACCGCCUGCUCAAGAUGCUGAAAGAAAGAAAUCAUAGCCUACUUCUCAACUCAUGUUCCCGAGUCAAAAUGUACAUUUGGUGUAUUAUUUUCUGGCAAUAAAUGCUUAAUUCUGCAGGAGUUAAUAUUAUAUUAGGCUAUGAGAGAGGUUAUAGAACUACAGUCGGUGUCCAGAUUUCAAGUCUGGGUUUCAGAUUUCAGAUUUUGGAUCAUCACUGGAGGCUCCGGGCCAUGGAUCCUCACUGGAGGCUCCGGGCCAUGGAUCAUCA
rnacentral:lncRNA from 1 species